rnacentral:lncRNA from 1 species
UUCGAGAUUGACAAUUUUAUUGAACAUUAUCUUCAAAUUCUAAACUCUUAAAUGGAAUGAUCAAUUGAGGGGGAGAAAGAAAAUUUCAGAAGGAGCGAUCUUAUGGAACUUAAUCGCAUAAAUCUAUAACUAAAGGAGAGAGGAAUACUAAAUGAAAAGUGAUCCUAAUACUCUCCAAUAUACCAUCUGAAAUCUAAAUCUGAAAAUCUUUAUGAUACACCUUGAGGCUUGUUAUUUGGUUAAUAUAUCUUGUGCAUAAAUCAUGAACCAAAUUUCAAUUCAAACAGUUCAUCUUAAGAGCCUCUAACUU